rnacentral:rRNA from 1 species
AUACAGGUGGUGCAUGGUUGUNGUCAGCUCGUGUCGUGAGAUGUUGGGUUAAGUCACGCAACGAGCGCNACCCCUGUCNUUAGUUACCAUCAUUCNGUUGGGGANUCUAGAGAGACUGCCGGUGAUAAACCGGAGGAAGGUGGGGAGGACGUCAAAUCAUCAUGCCCCUUAUGACUUGGGCAACACACGUACUACAAUGGCAAUUACAAAGGGAAGCGAAGUAGUGAUAUGGAGCGAAACCCAGAAAGGUUGUCUCAGUUCGGAUUGAAGUCUGCAA